GCCCAGACUCCUACGGGAGGCAGCAGUGGGGAAUAUUGUACAAUGGGCGCAAGGCUGAUCCAGCCAUGCCGCGUGAGUGAUGAAGGCCUUAGGGUUGUAAAGCUCUUUCAGUGGGGACGAUAAUGACGGUACCCGCAGAAGAAGCCCCGGCUAACUUCG
rnacentral:rRNA from 1 species